ensembl:lncRNA
CAUGUAUUAGCCUCGCUUUUCAAAAGACAGAUCCAGAGAGACUAUUAAUACAUGGCAUAAGUCGUUCAGUCCAGAGCCAGACAGACCUAGAAAGUACCUCAGGGUUUCUGCAUUAUGCUGAGGCAUUCUCAAAAAGGCUGCUUUGCUGUCUUUGAAUGAAAACCGCCCAUGGUCUUCCUUUGCUCUUUUUUUUUUUCCAAAGAAAAUAUUUAUUUUUUUUAGUUUUAGUUGUGGCACGUCGUAUUCCCCGACCAGGGAUUGAACUCAGGCCCCCUGCAUCAGGGGCAUGAAGCCUUAGCCUCUGGACCACCAGGGAAGUCUGACUUCCUUUGCUCUUGAUUAAUUGUCUGGUUUGGAGAGCCACUGAGACUUCACAGAUGGGACCCCUUUCCCCACCACCCCCUAACUGCCAUUUAUCUCAGUUACAGUUGAUAACUGAUGACCAGACCAGCUAAUUAAGCCCAUUCUGCAGCCCAAGGAAGGAGUCAGAAGGGGAUGGGGAACAGACACAUAUAGUCAAGUCAAAGAGUGCAACUGAUUUGAGCGAUUAAGGCAAGCACGAGUCUGAGAAAGGAGCCUCACUUUAAGAAGGAGGAAUAAAUGUACAUCUCAUUCAUGUCAAGGGGUGGUUAUGGGAAUCUGGGGAUUCUACAGGUGAAAAUGGUUUGUAUGUUAUAAAGUGCCUUAAAUGCCAAAAGGAUUGUCAUUUUGAUCAAAGUCUCUCAUUUCACGAUGGUGUUCUCCAUCUCUUUAAAAAAGCUGUUGGCAUCUGUUUUUAGAGGAUGACAGAUACAAGGUAAAAUGAAGAAAGAUGAAAGGAUCUGCAAAGAUUUCAGAGCAUUUGACCCAAAGAGGAAAAAGCUGAAAAGCUUCUUAAUAUCUUCAAGGACAUAAAGUCCUAUGAUAAAGUGUGAGUGGGAACCAGCUGUUACCCAUCUCUUUGGAGGUCAAAUAAAGAAGUUAUGGGCUUCAUUUUGAAGAGGCCAUUUAAGUUUUCUUAAAAUCAACUUCCUGACUGUAGGGAUUUUUGCCAACUGGGAAGGGAUGGUGUAGCACAAGCCUCCUGCCUUGUGUCUUGAAGAAUGCUAUGUUCAUCUACUCUCAUGUACAAAAUACCCUAAAACCUCAUGGGGUGAGACAAGCAAGCACAGUUUUACGAUGCUCUUGGCUUCUGUGGGUCAGGACUCAGCCGGGGCAUAGAGCGGUCUGUGUCUGCUCGGCUGUGGGGAAGAUCCAGAGGUUUGGAAGGAGCUCACAUGAUCUUGGAACCAGCAGCAGGCGUCAUCAUGGCUGAUGUCUAGGGCCAGGUUGUGCACCUGUCUCCAGGUAUAGCUGAGAUGUCUUCAGGUGAUCACUGCAUCAGCUUCUCCAACACG